rnacentral:rRNA from 1 species
AUCCCAAGUAGCAUGGAGCACGUGAAAUUCCGUGUGAAUCUGCGAGGACCACCUCGUAAGGCUAAAUAUUCCUGAAUGACCGAUAGUGAAACAGUACCGUGAGGGAAAGGUGAAAAGAACCCCGGGAGGGGAGUGAAAAGAACAUGAAACCAUAAACUUACAAGCAGUAGGAGGACGACUAAAACGUCUGACUGCGUGCCUGUUGAAGAAUGAGCCGGCGACUUAUAGUUAGUGGCAGGUUAAAGUAGUGAAUACUGAAGCCACAGUGAAAGCGAGCCUGAAUAGGGCGUUUGUCACUAGUUAUAGACCCGAACCCGGAUGAUCUAACCAUGGUCAGGUUGAAGCUUAGGUAAUACUAAGUGGAGGACCGAACCGACUGAUGUUGAAAAAUCAGCGGAUGAAUUGUGGUUAGGGGUGAAAUGCCAAUCGAAUUCAGAGCUAGCUGGUUCUCCCCGAAAUGCGUUUUGGCGCAGCGGUAAAUGUUAUAAUUUAGGGGUAAAGCACUGUUACGUAUGCGGGCUGGUAAUUCGGUACCAAAUCGUUGCAAACUAAGAAUACUAAAUGUAUAGUUUACCAGUAAGACUGUGGGGGAUAAGCUCCAUUGUCAAGAGGGAAACAGCCCAGAGCACCAGUUAAGGCCCUUAAAUAAUUACUAAGUGGUAAAGGAGGUGGGAGUGCAUAGACAAUCAGGAGGUUUGCUUAGAAGCAGCAAUCCUUUAAAGAGUGCGUAAUAGCUCACUGAUCGAGUAAACCUGCGCCGAAAAUGAACGGGACUAAGUAAUUUGCCGAAACUGUGCGAUAUAUAUUUAUAUAUCGGUAGGGGAGCGUUCUGUUGUAGGUCGAAGUAUUAGCGUAAGCGGAUAUGGACGAAGCAGAAGUGAGAAUGUCGGCUUGAGUAACGAAAAUAUAGGUGAGAAUCCUAUACCCCGAAAACCCAAGGUUUCCUCCGGAAGGCUCGUCCGCGGAGGGUAAGUCAGGACCUAAGGCGAGGCUGAAAAGCGUAGUCGAUGGACAACGGGUUAAUAUUCCCGUACCAUUUUUUAUUGAUAUCGAGGGACGGAGAAGGCUAAGCUAGCCGGAUAUUGGUUUUACCGGUUUAAACGUUCGAGAUGUUGAGAAGCGGAGAAAACGCUUUGAGUUGAGACGUGAAUACGAGACGCUAAGGCGUCGAAGUAGUGGAUGUCAUACUUCCAAGAAAAGCUUGCACUGUCAUAAAUAAAAAAUGCCUGUACCAUAACCGACACAGGUGGGUAGGUAGAGUAUACUAAGGGGCGCGAGAUAACUCUCUCUAAGGAACUCGGCAAAAUAACUCCGUAACUUCGGGAGAAGGAGUGCCUUAUUUAUAAGGUUGCAAUAACAAGAUCCAAGCAACUGUUUAUCAAAAACACAGGUCUCCGCUAAGUCGUAAGACGAUGUAUGGGGGCUGACGCCUGCCCAGUGCCAGAAGGUUAAAGAAGUUGGUUAGCAAUUGCGAAGCUGGUAACUGAAGCCCUGGUGAACGGCGGCCGUAACUAUAACGGUCCUAAGGUAGCGAAAUUCCUUGUCGGG